rnacentral:rRNA from 1 species
AGCGAACGCUGGCGGCAGGCUUAACACAUGCAAGUCGAACGGGCAUCUUCGGAUGUCAGUGGCAGACGGGUGAGUAACACGUGGGAACGUACCCUUCGGUUCGGAAUAACUCAGGGAAACUUGAGCUAAUACCGGAUACGCCCUUUUGGGGGAAGGUUUACUGCCGAAGGAUCGGCCCGCGUCUGAUUAGCUUGGUGGUGGGGUAACGGCCUACCAAGGCGACGAUCUGUAGCUGGUCAGAGAGGAUGAUCAGCCACACUGGGACUGAGACACGGCCCAGACUCCUACGGGAGGCAGCAGAGGGGGAUAUUGGACAAUCGGGGCAAGCCUGAACCAGCCAUGCCGCGUGAGUGAUGAAGGCCUUAGGGUUGUAAAGCUCUUUUGUCCGGGACGAUAAUGACGGUACCGGAAGAAUAAGCCCCGGCUAACUUCGUG